rnacentral:rRNA from 1 species
UACGGGGGGGGCAAGCGUUGUUCGGAAUUACUGGGCGUAAAGGGCUCGUAGGCGGCCAACUAAGUCAGACGUGAAAUCCCUCGGCUUAACCGGGGAACUGCGUCUGAUACUGGAUGGCUUGAGUUCGGGAGAGGGAUGCGGAAUUCCAGGUGUAGCGGUGAAAUGCGUAGAUAUCAGAAGGAACAUCAGUGGCGAAGGCGGCUUCCUGGACCAAUACUGACGAUCAGGUGCGAAAGCGUGGGGAGCAAACAGG